UGGGUGCUGCCUGGUGCGUCAGGAACACUUUCUCUCGGGGCCUUACGAUCCUUAAGGGAGCUGUCCCUGGGGAGGACCCUGGUCCUCUUCACACGGCGCCCACCUACUUAUGUAGGUCUCCGAGGAUCCACGUUCCAACGGCCGAGGUGGCCCCACC
rnacentral:other from 1 species